CACACAUAGCAAUUUAAGAAUACAUGUACUGAGAACUUUAACGGUUACUGCCAACACGCCAAUAUGCGUUCAGCAACAUCUCUCCUGAGUACAGUGAUACCACCCAUAGGUGUCUCGGGUUCUCUGGGGGCUAAAAGACCUUAUUUGGAGGGUGCACAUUCCAGUUUUCCAACUUGGUUAGCAUUUAUAUUUGUUUGUGUGUUAAAAAUGCAAGUAUGAACGCUACCUUUGGCC